GGAGAUGAGGUGCUUGCACCUUAUCUUAGCGGCGGACGGGUGAGUAAUGCUUAGGAAUCUGCCUAUUAGUGGGGGACAACAUUCCGAAAGGAAUGCUAAUACCGCAUACGUCCUACGGGAGAAAGCAGGGGAUCUUCGGACCUUGCGCUAAUAGAUGAGCCUAAGUCGGAUUAGCUAGUUGGUGGGGUAAAGGCCUACCAAGGCGACGAUCUGUAGCGGGUCUGAGAGGAUGAUCCGCCACACUGGGACUGAGACACGGCCCAGACUCCUACGGGAGGCAGCAGUGGGGAAUAUUGGACAAUGGGGGGAACCCUGAUCCAGCCAUGCCGCGUGUGUGAAGAAGGCCUUAUGGUUGUAAAGCACUUUAAGCGAGGAGGAGGCUACUGAGACUAAUACUCUUGGAUAGUGGACGUUACUCGCAGAAUAAGCACCGGCUAACUCUGUGCCAGCAGCCGCGGUAAUACAGAGGGUGCGAGCGUUAAUCGGAUUUACUGGGCGUAAAGCGUGCGUAGGCGGCUUUUUAAGUCGGAUGUGAAAUCCCCGAGCUUAACUUGGGAAUUGCAUUCGAUACUGGGAAGCUAGAGUAUGGGAGAGGAUGGUAGAAUUCCAGGUGUAGCGGUGAAAUGCGUAGAGAUCUGGAGGAAUACCGAUGGCGAAGGCAGCCAUCUGGCCUAAUACUGACGCUGAGGUACGAAAGCAUGGGGAGCAAACAGGAUUAGAUACCCUGGUAGUCCAUGCCGUAAACGAUGUCUACUAGCCGUUGGGGCCUUUGAGGCUUUAGUGGCGCAGCUAACGCGAUAAGUAGACCGCCUGGGGAGUACGGUCGCAAGACUAAAACUCAAAUGAAUUGACGGGGGCCCGCACAAGCGGUGGAGCAUGUGGUUUAAUUCGAUGCAACGCGAAGAACCUUACCUGGCCUUGACAUACUAGAAACUUUCCAGAGAUGGAUUGGUGCCUUCGGGAAUCUAGAUACAGGCGCUGCAUGGCUGUCGUCAGCUCGUGUCGUGAGA
rnacentral:rRNA from 1 species